CGGGCAGUAGCUCAGCGGUAGAGCUCCCUCUGCGUAUGAGGGAAGACCUGGGUUCGAUUCCCCGCUGCUUAC
rfam:Toxocara canis scaffold4358, whole genome shotgun sequence.